AACAUGCUCUAUAGCUUUGUAGCCUAGGAGCAAUAGGCUCUACCAUAUAGCCUAGAUGUGUAGUAGGCUACACCAUCUAGGAUUGGGUGAGUACACUCUACGAUGUUCACUCAAUGACAAAAUGGUUUCACAGUGUGUUUCUCAGAACACUCCCCUGUUUUUAAGUGAAACAUGACUAUGUAUGACAGGAGGCAGACAUUUGGGUGAUACCAGAGCUGCUAACUCCUUAAAACAUGACCAAAGGAGGCAUGUAUGUCAUUAACCUGCUCCCCAGAACUGAAGUUUUUGCAUUCCAUUCCAUGAGCCCAUGACUUUUGGCUUAAAUGGAAAGGGAACGUUCAGGUGGGUCAGUUUCUUCCAAAUUUUUCUUUCCAUUAGUUUUGGCUCAUUGUACAUAUUUCCCACUUCUGAUUCCUGAUUCCUUGGUUUACUGUUUCCUCUCUUUUUGUUUUAUCUUAUCUUCCCCUUUUUUCCCCUGCCUUUUCUAAGGUCCCUAGUUUCCCACUCUAAAUAUUUAAAAUGAGUACUGGCCUUGAUCCAUGAGCACCCCCUUUUAAUCCAGCCCAUAGGCACCCUGUGAGUAGGGUGGGUCCUGAGUUGUAGAAAUAGAUGAGAAGCAGAGUCAAGUGGCAGCCCAGAGGAGCCUGAAAGGGGCCAUGCAAACCAUGUAGCCCAGGCUGUGGACUGUAGGAACUUUAUUCCAGAAGAACUUGAGAUGCUGUAGAGAGAUGAACAUGGAUGUACAUUCAGGAAACUUAAACUAAAUUGAUAAAACAUCAUCAGAUAAAGGCUUUACAUGAAUGCCACUAGAAAUUCCAGAUUUGAUGGGGAAACCAUUGCCCUCAUGUAUUACCUGUACUCUAUUUGUAACUUAUCAGUUAUAAAUAUGUAAUUAUGAAAUUUAUUUUCUUUCACUCUCUCAUAUAAGCUUUGUAAGAACCAAGAGGAAUGUCUGUAUCCCCAGCACUUAGAACAUGGCCUGACACGUUGCAGAGGCUCAAUAAAUAUUUAUUGAAUAAAUGAGUGCCAUCAUGUUUCUAUAAUCCACUUACAGGUUGAAUAAAAGGCAGAAUUUGUGUUCAGAGAAGCCUUUAGUUUCAGCCCUGGCUCUGCCUCUGAUGAGCUGUGCUGCUUAAUCUCUCUGAGUCUAAUAGAAUUGCUGUGGAGAUCCUAUACUAAAAUGAAGUGUUUGGAUGGACAUUGCUGUGGUCUGAAUGGUUGUGUCCACUCCAAAAUUCUUUUGCUGAGAUUGAAUCUGCAAUUUGUUGGUGUUAGGAGAUGGGGCCUUUAGAAAGUGACUAGGUCGUGAGGGUUGAGCCCCAUGAAUAGGAUUAGUGCCCUUAUAAAAGAGGCUAGAGGGAGCUUGUUCACCCCUUCUACCAUGUGUGGACACAGCAAGAAGUCACCAUCUGUGAAGCAGAGAGCCCUCAUUAGACACCAAAAUCUGCCACCACCUUGAUCUUGGACUUUGCAGCCUCCGGAACUGUGAGCAACAAAUUUCUGUUUAUAAACUACCCAGUAUAAGGUAUUUUGUUAUAGCAGUCGGAAAGGACUAAGGGACAUUUAAUGGACAGAUGUCUGUUUAUUCCUUUUUAUCCUAAUUCAAGUUUUCACCAUCCCCUUCCUCCUCCUUGCAUUACAGUGGAUACUCUCCAAAUCAUGGCUCUCUUUAUCUGAGGGUUAGAUUUGAAUUGGGGAAGGAAUUAACAUUUUUGCAGUGGUGAUCCUUUUUCAUUAUGAAAAAUCUCAGAAAAUGAAAAGCACAACUGUAAAGCUCAUAAGCCUUAAGUUUAGGGCAGUGUUUCCACAUAACUGCAGCUGGACUGCUCAGAAGGGUCAAAAGAAGGCAACCCCUUUCCAGAGGCUGCAAGUCGCUGCUUCUACAGGGUCAGCAGCAGUGAAAUCUGUGAGAUACGGGGCAGGGUGGUGGAGGGGGAGACACUUUCUGAGUCACUUGAGAAGUAGAUCACUUUAAACUGCUGGAGGACUGGGCUCAUGGAAGGAAGUGACGUCUCAUGCAUAGCUCCAUUCCCAGUUCCUUUUACUAAGAAGACAAGACAGAAGACAAAGAAUAGGUAAAACAGGAUGUAAAGUUUAUAUACAAGAAUAUAAUGUUUAUCUGAAAUAUUUACAGUGUUGGUUAAAGCAAUAUUUUUACAACUUUUAAAGGUAAACUACUAUGUAUAUUACAGGUAAGCUACAGUGGGUUUAAUUUGCAAAAGUUAAGUAAGAAAUGUUUUAAACAAGGCUUAAAGUACUCAAGUCAAUUAUAAAAUUCAUAUCUUUUGCCUUUUACUUGAAGAAAUCAUGCUAUAGAAAUGAUUAAUGUGCUUUUAAUAAAUGGAAGUACUGUAGCUGGAAUGUGAUACAUGUAACAGUUGAAGUUCCCAUUGAAGGUAUAAAAUGAUGAAUUGUUGUAAGACUUAGACACUGAGUCUCAGUCUGGAGCUGAGGAAGAUGUUGAGAUAACAGCCAGCUUUAUCUCAACAGGGUUGUGACCGACAAGUUUGGGCCACAGAGAAAAUUGAAGCAAUUUGCACAUUGUGACAACCUCAGUGGGAAGUGAAAAUCAGCUGACUCAAAACAACAAACAACAAACAACCAGACCCAAGUCACAGUUGCACCUAUUCAAAACUAGCUUUAACAGAUCUUUUAAAGCCAUCAGAACUAUUGCUGCCUAAGACAUGCAUGGCAAAUAAAAGUGUCUCACUGGAUUUCAAAUAAGGGGAAUAAUCAAUGUUAAGUGCUGCCUUGUUGGAUUUCUUCCUGAUUUUUUUGAAGCUCCGCUUCUUCUGUUUCAGAGCUAUGUUUCCCCAGUGGGCUACCACAUCUCUGGGUUUCCAGUACUUGGAAUUUUGCUUCCCAGUUGCAGAGCUAAGAAGCCAAUUCACAUUCCAUCGUUGUCCUAAAGUCUUUUUCCUAUUUUGAAUACCCCAUCUUGUCUGGAUCUAUCAAGGGAUUUAUAACUUCAGGUGGCCUGCACCAGACCCACAGGGCAGUAACAGUCUUCCACUGAAUUCUUUAGCAGUUUUUACAAUUGCGUAAGAUCCUAGCUGGCUCAAGAGUCUUCUUGCCUCUGCUGCAGCAGUUACUUGGCUUGGUGUGUAGAUGUCUGACUGCCAUGAAGUUUAGAGAGGAAAAGAUGACAAGAGCAAAGUAAACAGACAUGAAAGGCCGUGGAUCUUGGUUGAUGCCAACAGAUGCCAUGUCAUGAAGAUGCUCUGAAGGAAAGAUGAUGACAGGGUCUCCUCACUCUCCUGGGUCCUUCUGACUGGUGACUGUCUCCUCACUGCUGCUGCUACCAGGGCCCAGUUUGUUGCCUGAAGCCAAAAGCUGAAAGCUCACAUAAUCUUUUGAAGAGUACUACAUAAGUAAAGUGAGUUCUCAUAAUGAAGAAUAGCUGAGUAAACAAUGCCACACCAUGUGGCUACAUGCGUUUCUUAAGAUUAAAAACAUUUGCAGUCACAGAAACAGACAUGGGAUAGGAAACGCAAGUCUAUUUUAUUAUGUGGGUUUUGAAAUUAAACCAAUUGUUUAGAAUAAAGGCGCUGAAGUUCUGUAGAUUAAAAGAAUGAAUUAAAU